rnacentral:lncRNA from 1 species
GAAGUAGCCAUCUUAUCCAGCACGGUAUGGGUACAACCUGGCGGCUCCUGCCCUGCCUCCUGCCAGCACCCUGUCCCGACUACGUCCACUAGGGAGUUGGCAGCCUUAGUGAUGAUGCCAAGCAAGUCGACAGCAAAAUGCGGGUUGCCUCGAAAUUUUACUGAAGCCGUGCCACACCCUCGUGCCAGGCCUCUUGGAAAUGACACAUAACCAGGCUCCACACGUCAAUAUCAAAUGGGUCCAAAGAUCAAGGGAACCUGCUGUGCAACCAGUGGGCAACCUUUGGUGAUUCACCUAUUACACAGCUGUACCUUGGCUGCCAUCUAUCCAAACAGCAUCACCAGCUGUGACCACUUAUCGAACCGUGAGCGAAUACUAGGGUGGAGUGUUUCGUGGCCUUGACAUUCUAUUUGUCUCUUAUGAUUCUUAGCAAAUACU